UGCAGCUUAAGGCUGCAGACAAAAAGUUUAGCACAGAUUCUGUGGCUUAACUACCCGCCAUACAGUGUAACUAGCUUGAUCUCAUGGCCAGUCUGUAAUUGGACUGGCUUUGUCUGCAUUUGUUAGCGUUGAGCUAAAGAUACAUGUGGCACAUCACCUGUGCACACGGUUUCGUGUUGAAAAGUAACUCAUCACGCCGCUGAGGAAUUGAUGCACAACGAGUUGAAUGAUCAGGAGGUGUGUUUCGUGUUGACCGGGUUUACUCACCGUAACCCCACAGAUUCACACGCAGGACUCCAUUGUGGCAGAGGCGCAGUGUUAAGGGGUGUUUGUGCCGCUUCUCUCCUCUCCCUUUUUAGUACCUCCAAGCCAUUAGUGUUUUAGUUAUUGGGUUGGUUUUGUGUCCAAGUCAAUUUAUAUUCUUUUCUUGUAUGUCCCUUUUUUGUUUUGUGAACUCGAGGCUCUGGCCUAGUCUUGUGCCCAACAUCCGCCCUUAUCUCACAGCAAGGCCCCACUUGUGUGAUCACUGGUAGUAGUUAGUGUGUGUAGAACACAUCUGAUUUGCUGUGGUUUAAUGUGUGUAAGUCACCUUAACCAUACUUUGAUUGCUGUGAGGUUGCCAUAUAUGGGUGCCGUGUAUUCACUAUAUACUGAACAAGGUUGAGGGUCACCUGGUUUUGUGUGAUAGUAAGGCCUUCUGUGUUAUCGGGCCACAGGCACUGUAGUAUUUUGGCCUAGCCAGCCUCCGACUGUUUUCUUUCCUUUUUCUAUUUAUUGUAAAAAUAAAAACAAAUUCUAUUUUCA